rnacentral:lncRNA from 1 species
ACCGAGAUCGGAGACGGUAGGGGAGGUUGUUUACACGGCGUAAAGUGAGGCCGAGUUCCGGCCACCCAGCAGGGUAGGUGACAGCAGCGUCCUUAUAGGCAGUCAGUCUGGAGUAUAGGGCUUCAGAGGAUGCGGCGGGGAACCGAAGUAGAGGUGAGGGGUCGAGGUAUCUGUCGCCGGGCCAGGGCCACCAGCGAGGAAGGGCUCAAACACACUGUGCUCACCUUUCUCAACUUCGUGUGAAAAACGAGCUUGGUUGCACAUGGAGCUGUCGUAGGGAUAAAUGUGGAAGGGAGAAGUCCACACUCAAAAAGAUUAAGAACAAAUUUCAAUAGGCGAAAUUUCACAUGGGAAAUGCCCUUUGUUGCAUGAGGUGUAUGAGCUCUUUUAAAGGAGAACACUGUGGUUUCCAUGUUCUGAGCAUUCUGAGAUUGUGAAGGCAUAAUUCCUUUGAUUUGCUUACAGCCAAGUGGAGUUGCACAGGUCAUGGUGGCAGUAUAGCCACUUAAGUAUUCUAAAGGAGAUUUAUCAGCAGGUUGCAGGUGAACAUGGCCUUGAGGUAAAUCCUGCCCCUUGUGAAAUUUAUUUUCAGCAGAUUGUUCUUGGCAUCUUAAGGAAUUAGAAUAUUUUACAAACAAUCAAAAGUUUUGUUUUGGUUCUUUUUUAGACUUGCGUUUGCUUCUUGUAGAAGAUGAGAAACAUGUUUAAACAAAGGUUCUUUAUGCUGAAUAAAUAGGUUGCUUGAAGUUGGUCAUCUGCCUUAUUUAAAUUAAGUGAAUUUUGGCAUUCCCAUCAUGGCUCAGCAGAAACCAAUCUGACUAGCAUCCAUGAGGAUGCAGGUUCAGUCCCUGGCCUCAGUGCGUUAAGGGUCCAGCAUUGCCAUGAGCUGUGGUGCAGGUCACAGACUCAGCUUGGAAUGGCGUGGCUGUGGCUGUGGCGUAGGCCAGUGGCCACAGCUCUGAUUGGACCCCUAGCCUGGGAACCUCUGUAUGCUGCGGGUGCGGCCCUAAAAAGACAUAAAUAAAUAAAGUAGAUUUUAAAUGUCAAAG